rnacentral:lncRNA from 1 species
UUUGUUCCACGUUGUCAAAAAGUGAUUCCAGCACUGAAACUGGCCAUAUAAAUGCCUAUAAUGGUGGAAGUGGAGUAGAACCUCACUUACGCCAUCCUGACACUAGCAAUGAAGCCUCAAAAGCUCCUGCUUUGGGGCUCGAUGAAACCUCAGAAGCUCCGGAUUUGGGACUCCAUGAAACCUCAAAAGCUCCUGCUUUGGAAACCAAUCACAUAAAGGAGUUACCUGUGGGCUCGUCAACCAUUCAAACCUCAUUUGUCUCUACUGCUGACACACACCAACAAUCUGAACCACAUACCCAUCAGCAUAGAUUUUUCACGCCAGCUC